rnacentral:lncRNA from 11 species
CGCCACCUUCCCAGGGGCGCUAUUGAGUUUGGAAAGGACUGCCCAGCUGAGCUGAAGUCCAGGCUGCUGGGGCUUGCCUCCUGGAGAUGCUUUGGAGGGCGCUGGGGCAAAGGAGCCUCGCUGAAGCUCUGGGCGAGCGCCCUUUGGGACAAAGCAGUGCCUCUCUUCCCCCGUUUGGCAGCAGAUGAGCCAGGUUGGACCUGCUUCGGCUUCCCUCCCCUUUGCCUUUACAGCUGGAGAGCCAGGGCUGCCUGCACAUGCAAAAUGGAAAGGACACACGAAGUGGGAAAGGCCGGGUGGAUCUCUCCUACUUGUUCAGGAUGGGCUCCCAUUGGCUAUUUGGCGCUGUUUCAGCCGAUACUGGCCUCCCUCCCUCUCCCGUGCCUGGAAGCCACGCCCCCUCCUGUUGCUUUCCUCCAUUAGCAGCAGCCAGGCCAGCAACGCGUGCCCUGCGAGGGCCUGCUUGCCUCCAUUGGGAGAUUGGGUCACAGAUUAA